AGAGUUUGAUCCUGGCUCAGGACGAACGCUGGCGGCGCGCCUAACACAUGCAAGUCGAACGGGGUGAAUUUUCUCACUGAGUUUUUUGCGAGUCGGCCGGAAGCGCCAUUGAUGCGAAGCAUCAAUUAGGCUUAUUCCAGUAAGACUGACACAAAGGGCAAAAGACUGAGUGAGGAAAUUCAUUCAGUGGCGAACGGGUGAGUAACGCGUGAGGAACCUGCCUCAAAGAGGGGGACAACAGUUGGAAACGACUGCUAAUACCGCAUAAGCCCACGGCUCGGCAUCGAGCAGAGGGAAAAGGAGCAAUCCGCUUUGAGAUGGCCUCGCGUCCGAUUAGCUGGUUGGUGAGGUAACGGCCCACCAAGGCGACGAUCGGUAGCCGGACUGAGAGGUUGAACGGCCACAUUGGGACUGAGACACGGCCCAGACUCCUACGGGAGGCAGCAGUGGGGAAUAUUGCACAAUGGGGGAAACCCUGAUGCAGCGACGCCGCGUGGAGGAAGAAGGUCUUCGGAUUGUAAACUCCUGUUGUUGAGGAAGAUAAUGACGGUACUCAACAAGGAAGUGACGGCUAACUACGUGCCAGCAGCCGCGGUAAAACGUAGGUCACAAGCGUUGUCCGGAAUUACUGGGUGUAAAGGGAGCGCAGGCGGGAGAACAAGUUGGAAGUGAAAUCCAUGGGCUCACCCAUGAACUACUUUCAAAACUGUUUUUCUUGAGUAGUGCAGAGUAGGCGGAAUUCCCGGUGUAGCGGUGGAAUGCGUAGAUAUCGGGAGGAACACCAGUGGCGAAGGCGGCCUACUGGGCACCAACUGACGCUGAGGCUCGAAAGUGUGGGUAGCAAACAGGAUUAGAUACNCUGGUAGUCCACACCGUAAACGAUGAUUACUAGGUGUUGGAGGAUUGACCCCUUCAGUGCCGCAGUUAACACAAUAAGUAAUCCACCUGGGGAGUACGACCGCAAGGUUGAAACUCAAAGGAAUUGACGGGGGCCCGCACAAGCAGUGGAGUAUGUGGUUUAAUUCGACGCAACGCGAAGAACCUUACCAAGUCUUGACAUCCCUUGACGAACAUAGAAAUAUGUUUUCUCUUCGGAGCAAGGAGACAGGUGGUGCAUGGUUGUCGUCAGCUCGUGUCGUGAGAUGUUGGGUUAAGUCCCGCAACGAGCGCAACCCUUAUGGUCAGUUACUACGCAAGAGGACCCUGGCCAGACUGCCGUUGACAAAACGGAGGAAGGUGGGGAUGACGUCAAAUCAUCAUGCCCUUUAUGACUUGGGCUACACACGUACUACAAUGGCGUUAAACAAAGAAAAGCAAGACCGCGAGGUGGAGCAAAACUCAAAAACAACGUCCCAGUUCGGACUGCAGGCUGCAACUCGCCUGCACGAAGUCGGAAUUGCUAGUAAUCGUGGAUCAGCAUGCCACGGUGAAUACGUUCCCGGGCCUUGUACACACCGCCCGUC
rnacentral:rRNA from 1 species